GAUGAACGCUAGCUACAGGCUUAACACAUGCAAGUCGAGGGGAAACGAUAUUGGAAGCUUGCUUCCGAUAGGCGUCGACCGGCGCACGGGUGAGUAACGCGUAUCCAACCUGCCCAUCACUUGGGGAUAACCUUGCGAAAGUAAGACUAAUACCCAAUGACGUCUCUAGAAGACAUCUGAAGGAGAUUAAAGAUUUAUCGGUGAUGGAUGGGGAUGCGUCUGAUUAGCUUGUUGGCGGGGUAACGGCCCACCAAGGCGACGAUCAGUAGGGGUUCUGAGAGGAAGGUCCCCCACAUUGGAACUGAGACACGGUCCAAACUCCUACGGGAGGCAGCAGUGAGGAAUCUUCCGCAAUGGGCGAAAGCCUGACGGAGCAACGCCGCGUGAGUGAUGACGGCCUCGGUUGU
rnacentral:rRNA from 1 species